rnacentral:rRNA from 1 species
UACGUAGGGUGCAAGCGUUGUCCGGAAUCAUUGGGCGUAAAGCGCGCGUAGGUGGCUUCGUAAGUCCGUUGUGAAAGUCAAAGGCUCAACCUUUGAAUGCCGAUGGAUACUGCGAAGCUAGAGUACGGAAGAGGCGAGUGGAAUUCCGGGUGUAGCGGUGGAAUGCGUAGAGAUCCGGAAGAACACCGGUGGCGAAGGCGGUUAGCUGGGCGAGUUGCUGGACACUGAGGCGCGACAGCGUGGGAGCAACAGG